rnacentral:rRNA from 1 species
UACGGAGGGUGCGAGCGUUGUCCGGAAUCACUGGGCGUAAAGGGCGCGUAGGCGGCCUGAUAAGUAGGGGGUGAAAUCCUGCGGCUUAACCGCAGGGCUGCCUUCUAAACUGUCAGGCUCGAGCACAGUAGAGGCAGGUGGAAUUCCCGGUGUAGCGGUGGAAUGCGUAGAGAUCCGGAGGAACCCCAGAGGCGAAGGCGGCGCCCUGGCUCGCAACUGACGCUCAGACACGACAGCAUGGGGAGCGAACGGG